GUUUUAUUCCGUUGUGUUGGAGUUUUUUUGUGGGGGUGGGGGUGGGUGUGUUUGUUCUGUUUUGUUUUUGUUUUUGUGGUGGUGGUGUUGCUUUUUGGGUUUAGGUUGCUUUCACAGCAAAGGUCUGCAGCUUCACUCCUGUAAGCCACCGAGACUGCGAACACUCCAGAAAGAAUGAACGCCUCCAGACGCGCUUCCUUAAGACUUGUAACACUCCUCGCGAGGAUCUCCAGGUUCCCUCCUUGAGCUAGCGAGAUCACGAACCCACCAGAAGGAUGAAACUCCGAACACAACAUCAAAAGGAGCAAACUCCGGCCACGCCGCCUUUAAGAACUGUGAUAUUCACCGUGAGGGUCCGUGGCUUCAUUCUUCAAGUCAGACGAAGAGCCCACGAAUUCCGGACACAUGGAGACGUGGAAACAGGAUGGCACAGAAGACGCGGAAUGAGCCAGUGCGGUUAACAAGAGGAAGCACAUGAAUUGGAAAGUUCAGUGAGCUCUUGUUUAGAUAAUAGGAUCCAUAUAUCACUAGUGAUAUUUUCCUUCAUUCUCUUGUGAUCCAUAGAUUCCUUCUCCCUCUCUUCCUUUCCUCCCUCCCUCUCUCUGUUGGCAUUUUAUUUGUAGAAAAAAGUGUAGAAUUUGUUACACCCUGGAUUUUGCAGAUUGUCUCAUUGUGGUGUCAUUUGACAUUUUUCUACUGCCUUGUAUGUCCUGUAAUUUGUUAAUUAGAUCAAGAGGCUUAGACUCAAGUUCUUUUUUUUUUCCAGGAUUACUUAUAGGUGAUGUUGUAUACAGCCAUGUAGAUGGACAGGGUGUCUGGUUUUCUUAUUUUUUUCAAAAAGAUGUCAGCAGUCAUUGGUGAUCAUUACCUAAGGGUGUUUUUGUUUGUUUUUGAGAUGGAGUCUCGCUCUGUCACUCCAGCUGGAGUGCAGUGGCACAAUCUCAGCUCACUGCAUCCUCCGCCUCCCAAGUUCAAGUGAUUCUCCUGCCUCAGCCUCCCCAGUAGGUGGGACCAACGAUAUUAAUAAUCAUAUUGCAUGUGAAUGUCUUAGUAUGACUUUAUAUGAUUGAUAGUAGCAGGAUGAUACUUUAUGUUUACAUUGAUUUGUUACAACAUACGUU
rnacentral:lncRNA from 10 species